rnacentral:rRNA from 1 species
GCUUAGCCCCGGAUUAGGUAGGAAUACCCGCUGAACUUAAGCAUAUC